CAGCCGCCACGGUAAUACGUAGGGCGCAAGCGUUAUCCGAAAUUAUUGGGCGUAAAGAGCUCGUAGGCGGUUUGUCGCGUCUGCCGUGAAAGUCCGGGGCUCAACCCCGGAUCUGCGGUGGGUACGGGCAGACUAGAGUGAUGUAGGGGAGACUGGAAUUCCUGGUGUAGCGGUGAAAUGCGCAGAUAUCAGGAGGAACACCGAUGGCGAAGGCAGGUCUCUGGGCAUUAACUGACGCUGGGGAGCGAAAGCAUGGGGAGCGAACAGGAUUAGAUACCCCAGUAGUCCCUGUCUCUUAUAA
rnacentral:rRNA from 1 species